rnacentral:lncRNA from 1 species
CAAGACAUUAACAAAAUAAUACCAAAAAAAUUAUAGAAACGGCUACUUAACUUUCUGAAUGAAAUAUCAAAAGUGGGACCAUAUUCAAGAAAAAAAAAAUUAACUUGAACAGCCUGCUUAAUGAUAUAAUAUUUUUUAGUUAGGGAAUUAAUCAUGCAUCUCCGGAUUUAUUCGAUUCGCCAAAGGGGGAUUCCUGGGAGUGCCACAUUGAAGUGUAUACACUGUUCUUAGCCAUAAGCUGUUCAUGACUACCUUGCUCAACAACACGACCCUUUUCAAGAACGAAUAUAAUGUCACAAUCCUUUAUUGUGCGAAGACGGUGAGCGAUGAAUACACUGGUUUUGUGAGAUCCCUUAAUAAGAUCAUUGAUAUUUCUCAAUAGUGCGCGUUCAGUAUUAGUGUCCAAAGCUGAAGUGGCUUCGUCAAAAAAAAGAAUUUCUGGAUUCUUAAGUAAUAGCCUUGAAACUGCAAGUCUUUGCUUUUCUCCUCCAGAGAUCAUUAAACCACGUUCGCCAACUUUUGUUUGAUAUCCCUCUGGAAAGCUUUCAAUAAUGUCAUGAAUCUUAGCUUUUUUGGCGGCUUCCACUAUUUCGUCGUUAGAUGCCUUCGGAUUACCAUACCCAAUAUUGUAAAGGAUUGUAUCAUUAAAUAGAGGCGUGUCCUGAGGUACAACACCGAUGGCUUUUCGAAGUGAAUUUAGAGUUAUCUGGUCAAGUCUUUGAUUGUCUAUUAAAAUCUUUCCUGAGUCCGUAUCGUAAAAGCGGAACAAAAGUCGAAGGAUUGUUGAUUUACCACAUCCGCUUGCGCCUACAAAAGCGACUUUUGCUCCAGCGGGGAUGUUAAAACUGCAACCAUUAAGAAUAGGUCUAUUUGGAUUAUACGAAAAAUGAACGUUAUCGAAUUGAAUAGAUCCGCCUUUAAGAACCAAAUCUCGAGCAUCUGGCGCCUCCUUCACUUGGAUAUUAAUGCGCUUUAAAGAAAACAAUUGCUCCAUAUCAGUAAAAGCCUGUCUCAUUUCGCGAUAGACAGAUCCAAGGAAGUUAAGAGGAAUUGACAACUGAAAUACUAAUUGGUUAAUCAUGACAAGGUCACCUACAGUAAGGUUGGAAGUUACAAUUCCACGACAACCCAUGUACAUCAUCAAAGUAAGAGCGGUAGAGAAUAUAAUAGCCUGUCCUGAAUUCAAAAAGGCCAAAGAAGAUGCUACCUUAACGUUGGCUUUUUCGUAGGCGGAAAGAUGCUUUUCAUAUCUGCUCAUUUCGUAUGAUUCGUUAUUAAAAGUUUUAACGGCUUCAUAAUUAAUCAGAGAUUCAAUUGCCGCGGCUGAUGCUUUACUGUCAGCAGCAUUUGCUUGACGACGGAAUACAGUUCUCCAGGAUGUCGUCCUAACAGUAAAAAGAGCAUAAAGAGCAACGGUUGUAGCAGCAAUGGCCGAAAACGAAGGUCCGUACUUGUAAGUGAGAAUACCACUCACCAUAGCAAUUUCAAGGGUAAUAGGAAUGAUGUGUAACACCAUGGAGGAAAGAAUGAAACUAAUACCUUUUGUACCACGAUCCAUUGCUCUAGUAAUACUUCCUGUUUGCUUUGAGAGAUGAAAAUUCAUGUCAAGGUUCAACAGAUGUUGAUAGACAUUGCUAGAAACACUUCGAAUAGCGCUUUGCGACACAAUUGCAAAAACGCUAUUCCUUAACUCUUGAAAAACGGUAGAAAAUAUUCUAGCAAAGCCAUAACCGAGAACAACAGCUCCUACAGUAGACCACAAUGCUCCUACUUCUUGAACAAGUGUUGUAUUCAUGGUAUCGAUAAUUGAUUUAAAGUAAAAAGGAACUUGGACGUUAAGAAUUUUGGCAGCUACAAGUAGUGCGAGAGCCGAAACAACUCUAACUUUCAAAUUAGUCUUCCCCUUGGGCC